AGGAUCCGACUUCUGUGGACGACACAGCAGGCGACAUGCCUGUGAAAGUGGAGGUGGAGUUCUGUGGUGGAUGAGGAUACAAGAAACACUUUGAAAGCCUUGCCCUGACAAUCCUACAGAAGAUUCCUGAAGCAGAAAUAGGUUUUAGCAAGGGUAGGGAAGGAAGCUAUGAGGUAACGGUAAACGAUAAGCUGAUUUACUCCAAACUGGAAACAAAGCACAUUCCUCACAAUGAAUCUAUCCUUAAAGUCGCGAUAGCAGCGAGCAAAGGUCUUCCGAUACAAAAGGUGGUCGAAAGGAAACGCUGUAUUAUUUUAUAACGGGAGAAACAGCGUCUGAAGACAAAGCAAGUCCG